rnacentral:lncRNA from 1 species
UAGUUUGCGCAAGGGUGGUUAUACUUCUCAAGUUUACACCGUAGAAGAUAUUAAAACAUUUCUGAGUGAAACAAAGAAUGUCAGAAAUGUUCAUAUUGACGAUUUUUUCCCGGAUCUUGAACAGUUCAUGUCUAGAACAAAGCAGUUCAUUUCGGACGGGCUUUUUUCUAACCCUGAAGUUUACCGUUUAACCAAGUUUCUUACGAAGUUAAAUAUCCUUCUCGGUAAAAACAGUAAAUCAAAGAAGGCAGCACCCAAACAAGCAGCAGAAUGAUUGUAAUUAUACGGUUUAUUUUUAUUUAUUUUUUGUUUUUGAUCAUGGGUGAUUUUCGUAUAGCCUCCCUAAAUAUCAAUGGGGCAAGGAAUCCCUUGAAAAGAGCACAGCUUCACCUUUUGUCACGCAUUAAGCGUCUCGACGUUCUUCUCUUGCAAGAGACACACAGCGAUGCAAGGAACGCAGCUGAUUGGGCACUGGAGUGGGAGGGUCUUUCUCUUUUGAGCCACAAUUCCAACGUUAGUGGUGGAGUUGCAUGUCUGUUUUCUAAGAGUUUUACUCCCAUUUCUUAUGAAGUGGUGGAAGUUAUAGAGGGAAGAUUAAUGAAGGUUAGAGCCUGUUUUGAAAAUUAUGUCUUUGUUUUUGUGUGUGUGUAUGCCCCAACCACUGCAGCAGAAAGAGUGGCUUUUUUAGAAACAUUGUCUACUGUUAUUUCUGGAUGCAAUGGUGAUGAAUAUCUGUUCAUUGGGGGGGAUUUUAAUUGCACAGAGCAAGACAUUGACAGAAAUCAUGUUGAGCCUCAUAUGCUUUCACGCAGUAUAAUUAGGCAGUGUAUGCAGACACAUGACCUAAGCGACGUAUGGAGAAAUUUUCACAUCGGGCAAAAACAAUAUACUUGGACUCAUGUCCGUAGUAAUAUGAUUUCCUUAGCAAGGCUUGACAGGGUAUACUGUUUCAAACAUCAUCUUAAUAUGUUUAAGAGUUGUGAUAUUACUCCUGUAAGCUUUUCAGAUCAUAGUUUGGUUGUGUGCAGU